UACGUAGGGUGCGAGCGUUAAUCGGAAUUACUGGGCGUAAAGCCUGCGUAGGCGGUUCCUCAAGUCCGUUGUGAAAGCCCCGGGCUCAACCUGGGAAUGGCAGUGGAAACUAGGGGACUGGAAUCUGGCAGAGGGGGGUGGAAUGCCGCGUGUAGCAGUGAAAUGCGUAGAGAUGCGGCGGAACACCGAUGGCGAAGGCAGCCCCCUGGGUUAACACUGACGCUCAUGCACGAAAGCGUGGGGAGCAAACAGG
rnacentral:rRNA from 1 species